rnacentral:rRNA from 1 species
CCGGCGCACGGUGAGUAACACGUAUGCAAUCCACCUGUAACAGGGGAGUAACCCGGAGAAAUCCGACUAAUACCCAUAAUAUGGCGCUCCGCAUGGAGAGUUCAUUAAAGAGAGCAAUUUUGGUUACAGACGAGCAUGCGCUCCAUUAGCCAGUUGGCGGGGUAACGGCCCACCAAGGCGACGAUGGAUAGGGGUUCUGAGAGGAAGGUCCCCCACAUUGGAACUGAGACACGGUCCAA